rnacentral:rRNA from 1 species
CCUACGGGUGGCAGCAGUAGGGAAUAUUGCUCAAUGGGGGAAACUCUGAAGCAGCAACGCCGCGUGGAGGAUGAAGGUUUUCGGAUUGUAAACUCCUUUUGUUAGAGAAGAUAAUGACGGUAUCUAACGAAUAAGCACCGGCUAACUCCGUGCCAGCAGCCGCCGUAAUACGGAAGGUCCAAGCGUUACUCGGAAUCACUGGGCGUAAAGCGCGCGUAGGUGGGAUAGCAAGUCAGAUGUGAAAUCCUAUGGCGUAACCAUAGAACUGCAUUUGAAACUGUUAUUCUAGAGGAUGGGAGAGGUAGGUGGAAUGCUUGGUGGAGGGGUAAAAUCCGUAGAGAUCAAGAGGAAUACUCAUUGCGAAGGCGACCUGCUAGAACAUAACUGACGCUGAUGCGCGAAAGCGUGGGGAGCAAACAGGAUUAGAUACCCGAGUAGUC